GACGAACGCUGGCGGCGUGCCUAAUACAUGCAAGUCGAACGCAGUGGGGACUGGUGCGUAACACGUGGGUAACCUGCCCUCAGAGGGGAUAACCCUUGGAAACAGGUGCUAAACCGAUACUGAUGGAUGGACCCGCGGUGCAUGAGCUUGUUGGUGGGGUAACGGCUCACCAAGGCCACGAUGCUUAGCCGACCGGAGAGGGUGAUCGGCAACACUGGAACUGAGACACGGCCCAGACUCCUACGGGAGGCAGCAGUAGGGAAUCUUCGGCAAUGGACGAAAGUCGGACCGAGCAACGCCGCGUGGGUGAAGAAGGUUUGCGGAUCGUAAAACUCUGUUGGUAGAGAAGCGGUAUCUAACCAGAAAGCCACGGCUAACUACGUGCCAGCCGCCGCGGUAAUAC
rnacentral:rRNA from 1 species